GUUAGUUAGCAUACAGCGUAAUAUUGGUUUCAGGACUGAUGGGUUUUGCCUGGAGUGGAAUUUCAAACCAAUCAGUCUAGAAUUUCCUAAUCAACACUAGUAAAGUAAUUAUGAUAGACUUUGGCCCUUCCCCCAGAGGAAGGUAACCUUGCCUGAAAUAACCCUUUGUUUUGUUUGUGACUUCCUUGUCCCUGCCCACUUCUGCCUACAAAAGCUUUCUACUUUGUAAGCUCCUCCUUGCUCCUUCUCCAUGCUACAGGAGAUGCUGCCCCAGUCAUAAUCCAUUAGAUCUCAAAUGCACUCCAUCGAAUUUUGUUUUUUAGCAGAGUUGGUGGCAGCAGUGGAUUCUGGCGUGAACUUCCACCAGCAUUUGGGGAUCAGAAACACAGGUGUGGUACCCAUGGGAACCCCAUUUUGAUCCUCUUUCUUGCCAUUUCCGAGGGCCCUGGGUAAGUUCUUCUUGGUCCUGAGCUCUGCCCUCUUUGCACUGAGGACCUGAUCUAACUGGCUUUCCAAUACAGGGCUGGUCAGCUUGAGCUGGCAGACAGUUCCACCUGGAGCCAAGCCCCUAGCCUUUCAGACCAAACUCCCAGGUUUCUGAUGGAAGACCCUCAACCCUUAGUUCUGUCCAAAGAUCCGCAUAGGAACUGUUCACGUCACGCCCAGUUCUCCAUCCAUGCACAGCCCCCAGCCCACAGUUUGGAGCUGCUGGUUCAAGGUGACAUAACUCCUACUGCUUCCCUCUAUCCUCCUCUCAGUGCUCAGUCUAGUAACCCUCCAUCCAAAUGGUCUUUCCACUCCAGAGACUAUUAAACGUUUAUUUAUCUUUUGAAAUCAUACCACCAACCACUACAGGUGAGCCUCUCAGGCAUCUUUCACUCCUCAAAGGCCAAUCUAACGGCCAUGGUCAUGUUGUCCCUUCAUUUCCAAAUCUAGGCCACUGGUUAUUGAUCUUUGGGGGUGACUCUAGAUCUUAUGAAGAUGAUGUCUUCUGCACCCUCUUUAAGGAUGCCUCUCAGGUCCAUGAGGUUGUUUAAUACUGCCAGAAAUACUUGACAUUUUGUAACUGAGUCCAACCUGGUUACGCUCGAUGAACAACAAGCCAGUUGGGGUAGGGAAAGCCAGCAAAACCAGGAGAUGGCAGACUACUGUCCCAAAGAACCAUUUCCCCUGGGCAUGAAUUUUGAGCUUCUUUUUAAGUUAGCAAAAGGAGGGAGAAGGAAGGUGCUGGAGUCAAAGGUGACUGGCAUCUGUAGACAUCCAAGGAAAGUCCUGUAAUUUCUUUGCACCUGUUCAUUUGAUCUUUGUGUGUAGGAAUCCGAUCAUGUCACUCCUGUAGAUAUUAAACAUUGCAUAGUCAUUUCUGUACUCACUUCCUUAUCUCCUUGAAUGAGGCUGAUUUCGGGGAAAACACUUUUUUGCAAAUCUCAGCUAUAAACAAAAUUUCUUUGAUGACUAACAUGCCUAUGUGCAGGGCUAAGCAGAAGUUUCCAAGCUCUGUGUCACAGCAGCAAGGGAAAUGGAAGCAACAUGGAGUCAGACAUGCUAAGUUUCUCCCUGUGACAGUUUGUCCCAGCUAAACACUGACAAGAUAUGUGAAGAAAUGUGGAAUACUAUUAUUUGAAAACAUGCUGUCCAUGGUCACCUCUUCCUUGGAGCCUUCCUUGAUCUGCAGCCUCAGCAGGCAAUUCUUUGUCCAGAUCACAAGACAGAUGCACACAUGGCCCCUGCUAACCUGUGACAUCCUCAGAGCCAAGUACAGAGACAGGAUCACCUUCCUUCCCUGAGCAUCUAGCACAGCACCGGCACACAGUUCUCGAGCUCUUAGAACCCUGAGAAUUGCCUGAGAAUCUUCUUAGAAGCGCAGGCCCCACCUCAGAGACUCUUGAUUCAGAAGGUUAGAUGUGGUGCCCAGGGAGCCGCAUGCUAAGUAACUGCUCCAGGCAAUUCUAAUGAUGUAGCCACUGAGAGGACUGCCAAGUCUGGUCGUAGGGGCCAUUAAGGACCUGCAUUUCCCCCACAGGCCCUCCUGAUUGUGGUCCCCAAGUCAAUAAACUCUGAGUAAAUGAGUAAACCCA